rnacentral:misc_RNA from 1 species
CUGGUAUCUUGUUAAUCAUCGC